rnacentral:rRNA from 1 species
CGGAGGCAGCAGUGGGGAAUAUUGCGCAAUGGAGAAGAACUCUGACGCAGCAAUACCGCGUGAGCGAAGAAGGUCUUCGGAUCGUAAAGCUCUGUUAUCAGGGAAGAAGAAAAUGACGGUACCUGAUGAGCAAGUCCCGGCUAACUACGUGCCAGCAGCCGCGGUAAUACGUAGGGGACAAGCGUUGUCCGGAAUCACUGGGCGUAAAGGGCGCGCAGGCGGUGAUUUAAGCAGGAUGUGAAAGGCUACGGCUCAACCGUAGACAUGCACCCUGAACUGGGUCACUUGAGUAUUGGAGAGGCAGGCAGAAUUCCUGGUGUAGCGGUGAAAUGCGUAGAUAUCAGGAGGAAUACCGGAGGCGAAGGCGGCCUGCUGGACAAAUACUGACGCUGAGGCGCGAAAGCGUGGGGAGCAAACAGGAUUAGAUACCCGCGUAGUCCU